AGCGUUGUUCGGAAUUACUGGGCGUUAAGCGUACGUAGGCGGCUUUGUAAGUUAGAGGUGAAAGCCCGGGGCUCAACUCCGGAAUUGCCUUUAAGACUGCAUCGCUUGAAUCAUGGAGAGGUUAGUGGAAUUCCGAGUGUAGAGGUGAAAUUCGUAGAUAUUCGGAAGAACACCAGUGGCGAAGGCGACUAACUGGACAUGUAUUGACGCUGAGGUACGAAAGCGUGGGGAGCAAACAGGAUUAGAUACCCUGGUAGUCCACGCCGUAAACGAUGAUGACUAGCUGUCGGGGCGCUUAGCGUUUCGGUGGCGCAGCUAACGCGUUAAGUCAUCCGCCUGGGGAGUACGGCCGCAAGGUUAAAACUCAAAGAAAUUGACGGGGGCCUACACAAGCGGUGGAGCAUGUGGUUUAAUUCGAAGC
rnacentral:rRNA from 1 species